AUUAGUAACAAAAAAUAAUGACUAUUAAUCAUUAUCACCGUAAAUCCAAGGGGUUCUAUGUUAAAAUGAAUUCUAUAGAGUGAAACGGCCCCUAAGAAAGAUUUGACGAAAGCAAAUUUUGAUGGGAUAAUUUUUAAAUUAAAUUUUUUAAAAAAAGUGACAAAAAUUUUAAAUUUUUCAGGAAAUAGCUUUUUUAAUUAAAAACCGUACCCUAAACCGACACAGGUGGAUAGGUCGAGUAGACUAAGGUGAAUGAGAGAACUAUGUUGAAGGAACUCGGCAAAAUGACUUUGUAACUUCGGGAUAAAAAGUACCUAAUUUAACUAAUUAGGUGGCACAGAAUAGGGGGUUGCGACUGUUUAAUAAAAACUUAGGACUCUGCUAAAUGGUAACAUGAUGUAUAGGGUCUGACACCUGCCCGGUGCUGGAAGAUUAAAAGGAAAUGUUUACGCAUUGAAUGGAAGUCCCAGUAAACGGCGGCCGUAACUCUGACGGUCCUAAGGUAGCGAAAUUCCUUGUCGGGUAAGUUCCGACCUGCAUGAAUGGUGUAACGACAUCCCCGCUGUCUCCAACAUUGACUCAGUGAAUUUGAAAUAUCCGUGAAGAUGCGGAUUUUCUAUAGUUAGACGGAAAGACCCCGUGAACCUUUACUACAUCUUUAUAUGGUUAUUUUAUCUAAUAUGUGUAGUAUAAGUGGUAAUCGUUUAGACCUUUACGCUAGUAAAUUGUUUAGAUAUCUUUGAAAUACCACUCUUAUUAAAAUAAAUAACUAAUAUUUUUUAAAUAGACAGUGUAUGGUUGGUAGUUUGACUGGGGCGGUCACCUCCUAAAGAGUAACGGAGGUGUACAAAGGUAAGCUCAAAUUGGAUAAUUUUAUCAAUUGUAGAGUAUAAUGGUAAAAGCUUGCUUGACUGUAAGAUAGACAUAUCAAACAGGGACGAAAGUCGGUCAUAGUGAUCCGAUAAUUCUUUGUGGAAAGAUUAUCGCUCAACGGAUAAAAGGUACUCCGGGGAUAACAGGCUAAUGACUCCUAAGAGCUCCUAUCGACGGAGUCGUUUGGCACCUCGAUGUCGACUCAUCACAUCCUGGAGCUGAAGAAGGUUCCAAGGGUUCGGCUGUUCGCCGAUUAAAGUGGUACGUGAGUUGGGUUUAGAACGUCGUGAGACAGUUUGGUUCCUAUCUUCUAUAGAUAUUUUGAAAAAUGAAAGAAUCUAACUCUAGUACGAGAGGACCGAGAAGGGUAAAUCUCUGGUGUAUCGGUUGUUUAAAAGCAUUGCCGAGUAGCUAAAUUUAUUUUGGAUAAUUACUGAAAGCAUCUAAGUAAGAAACCGUUCUUAAAAAUUUUUCAUAAAAAAACUGUAAAAGAUGAUUACAUAGAUAGGUUUUAAGUGUAAGUAUUGUAAAAUAUUUAGCUUUAAAAUACUAAAAGUUUACAAAAUUUAAAUAU
rnacentral:rRNA from 1 species